UACGAAGGGGGCUAGCGUUGUUCGGAAUCACUGGGCGUAAAGCGCACGUAGGCGGGUCGUUAAGUCGGGGGUGAAAUCCUGGAGCUCAACUCCAGAACUGCCUUCGAUACUGGCGAUCUUGAGUCUGGGAGAGGUGAGUGGAACUCCGAGUGUAGAGGUGAAAUUCGUAGAUAUUCGGAAGAACACCAGUGGCGAAGGCGGCUCACUGGCCCGGUACUGACGCUGAGGUGCGAAAGCGUGGGGAGCGAACAGG
rnacentral:rRNA from 1 species